AUACGGGGGGUGCAAGUGUUAUUCGGAUUUAUUGGGCGUAAAGGGCGCGUAGGCGGCUUGGUAAGUCAGAUGUGAAAGCCCGGGGCUUAACCCCGGAAGUGCAUUUGAAACUAUCGGGCUUGAGUAUGGGAGAGGGAAGUGGAAUUCCUGGUGUAGAGGUGAAAUUCGUAGAUAUCAGGAGGAACACCGGUGGCGAAGGCGACUUCCUGGACCAAUACUGACGCUGAGGCGCGAAGGCGUGGGGAGCAAACAGGAUUAGAAACCCCAGUAGUCC
rnacentral:rRNA from 1 species